rnacentral:rRNA from 1 species
AGAGUUUGAUCCUGCUCAGCACGAACGCUGGCGGCGUGCCUACACAUGCAAGUCGUACGCAGUAGCAAUNCUGAGUGGCGCACGGCUGAGUAACACGUGGGUAAUCUACCUUACUGUCUGGGAUUACCGGCAGAAAGGCUGGCUAAUACCGGAUUAGACCACGGAUCCUUCGGGUUCUGUGGAAAAGCUGGGGAUCUUCGGACCUAGCGCAGAAAGAUGAGCUCGCGUCCCAUUAGCUAGUUGGCGGUGUAAUAGACCACCAAGGCGACCAUGGGUAGCUGGUCUGAGAGGAUGAUCAGCCACACUGGCACUGAAACACGGGCCAGACUCCUACGGGAGGCAGCAGUGGGGAAUAUUGCGCAAUGGGCGAAAGCCUGACGCAGCAACGCCGCGUGAGUGAUGAAGGUCUUCGGAUCGUAAAGCUCUGUCAGCAGGGAAGAAACCUAUGUGAUCUAAUAAAUCAUGUAAUUGACGGUACCUGCGAAGGAAGCACCGGCUAACUCUGUGCCAGCAGCCGCGGUAAUACAGAGGGUGCGAGCGUUGUUCGGAAUUAUUGGGCGUAAAGAGCGCGUAGGUGGUUUGCUAAGUCUGGUGUGAAAGCCCUCGGCUUAACCGAGGAAGUGCAUUGGAUACUGGCAAGCUUGAGUGUGAGAGAGGAUUGUGGAAUUCCUGGUGUAGCGGUGAAAUGCGUAGAUAUCAGGAGGAACACCGGUGGCGAAGGCGGCAAUCUGGAUCAUAACUGACGCUGAGGCGCGAAAGCGUGGGUAGCAAACAGGAUUAGAUACCCUGGUAGUC